UAGGGAAUCUUCGGCAAUGGACGAAAGUCUGACCGAGCAACGCCGCGUGAGUGAAGAAGGUUUUCGGAUCGUAAAACUCUGUUGUUAGAGAAGAACAAGGACGUUAGUAACUGAACGUCCCCUGACGGUAUCUAACCAGAAAGCCACGGCUAACUACGUGCCAGCAGCCGCGGUAAUACGUAGGUGGCAAGCGUUGUCCGGAUUUAUUGGGCGUAAAGCGAGCGCAGGCGGUUUCUUAAGUCUGAUGUGAAAGCCCCCGGCUCAACCGGGGAGGGUCAUUGGAAACUGGGAGACUUGAGUGCAGAAGAGGAGAGUGGAAUUCCAUGUGUAGCGGUGAAAUGCGUAGAUAUAUGGAGAAACACCAGUGGCGAAGGCGGCUCUCUGGUCUGUAACAGACACUGAGGCUCGAAAGCGUGGGGAGCAAACAGG
rnacentral:rRNA from 1 species